rnacentral:lncRNA from 1 species
AUUGCCCCAGCACAUCUUGAAGAGAAGAAAAAUUGAAUGCCAAGGGUUUGAAAGAGUUCUGGAUAACCUUACCAAUAGGAACUGUACUUGUGAAGUCAGACAAACAUCAAUUCACCUAUAAGCAUUUCAAUCUCUAUUUCACUUCAGGUGUCCUAGGGGAAAACAUGUAUGUGCAGAUUGUUCUCUCUGUCUCUGUCUCUGCCUCUACAUGUCUCUCUGUCUCUGUCUCUCUGUCUCUGUCUCUCUCUGUCUCUCUCUGUCUCUCUCCCUCUCAGAACCUCCCUCCACCUCUCUCCCCCACCUCUCUCUUUCCUUCAUUUUAUAUUUAUACAUGUAGGUAUUUUAUCUACAUUUGUAUCUGUGUAUCAUAUGUGUUCAGUGAUCACAGAUAACAAAAGAGGCAUCAGAUCCUCUGUGACUGGAGUUUGAUAGAGUGAUGAGCCACCAGUUGGGUACUAGAAGCUGAUUGGGUCCUCUGGAAGAGCAGCCAGUACACUUACCACUGUGCCAUCUCUCCAGCCUUGUUGUUACUUCUCCGUAAAUCCAUCCUUUAUAGUUAUAAAGUACAUUUACAGGUUUAAAUCAUGCUUUGCUCAAAUGCACCAAAAAAAAAAAAAAAAAAAAAAAAAACGAAAUCAGAAAAACAAAACUAGUUCUAUUUCCCUCCGAUACUGAUGUUGCAUUUCUCCCUUAACUAACGGACAAUAAUGCACUUGUUAGUCUUAGGACUCUAAAUACUCAGUGUUUUACUAAUAAAUAGCUGGUUUCAUUAGUCCUUUAAUCAAUACUCAUGUUUUCAAGAGAGCGAGCACCUCUGAAUAGUAUCUCCUAUCUCUUAGCUCACCAUCUCUCUCAGCUCCUUCCUGAGUUGACAUCUGAGGAUUGAAGAAUACAAUGAGUAGAAUGCUCUCUUGCACAAGCUCGUAUCCGAGGAAACAGGGGAAUCUAGAAGUCCAAUGGAACUGUGUAAUUUCAGAUUUCAGAACUCUGAGUGACGGCAAAACCUUGUGUUAACAGGUUCUCCACCUGCCCUGCUGCCUGCUGGCAACUCCCCAGGCAGGUGGAGAACCUUCCUCGUCAGCCUUUGAUGCUGCUUUACACUCAUGUCUCAUGCCACUGGAGAUCUGGACGUCUAAGCUUCAUGUCCUUCCCUGCCUGACUCUUCACUUUCAUGCACUGCAGCGUCUGUUGAUGAACCACAGUGUGGUUCCUCCUAGCACAUGUCUGCUGAGAGUAGUGUCUAGGAGUGUUGCUUCUCUCAUUUGUCUAGAAUGGUUUCUAAUUGAACUAUUAUUACAUUUUUGUUCCUUUUUAAUCUUUUGUCUCAUGAAAAAUCCCCACUGCGUGCAUCAAUCAAUAUCGUACAAAACAACCUCGGAUUCACAAUACACUCUUCUCUCUUCAUUGUGAAAAGUAAAAAUCUAAUAUUCAUAGGUGUGAAAGAAAACACACAACUAAUUUUUAGAAUAGUAACUCAGGCAAGAUUGUAUAAACUUAUCACAAGUAAAAUGAAGAUAAAAUAGCCAAGUCAUCAAUUUUAUGCCUCUUUUUAUAUUAAGUGGAAUAUAAAUUUGCUCUCAAACUACUGACAAAAAUUGAGGCUAGGAAAGAGCAAUGUGUUUUACUUAACUGUAGGCCACAUGUGACUUAAUAAAGUUUAAAAAUAUUCACCUCUAGAAGGAUUAAAGAUGAUUCACAAGCUAUCCUUAUUUUCUGGAUCAAUGAUGAGUUCAGGCAUUUAGUGGAUCAGAAUUACCUAGCGUCUAUAGGGCAAUGUUUCUUGAAGACAACACAGGAUAUAAACUGGAUGAGUAAAACUAACUUAGCUGGUUCUGAAGGAAAUGAAGAUUUAUUAUC